rnacentral:rRNA from 1 species
UGCAAGUCGAACGAAGUAGCAAUACUUAGUGGCAGACGGGUGAGUAACAUGUGGGUAUCUACCCUUUGGCCUGGAAUAACACGAGGAAACUUGUGCUAAUACCGGAUAAGUCUUUACGGAGAAAGCUUUAUGCACCAUUGGAUGAGCCCGCACUUGAUUAGUUUGUUGGUAGGGUAAUGGCCUACCAAGACUAUGAUCAAUAGCUGAUUUGAGAGGAUGAUCAGCCACAUUGGGACUGAGACACGGCCCAAACUCCUACGGGAGGCAGCAGUGGGGAAUCUUGCACAAUGGAGGAAACUCUGAUGCAGCGAUGCCGCGUGAGUGAAGAAGGCCUUUGGGUUGUAAAGCUCUUUCGUCGGGGAAGAAAAUGACUGUACCCGAAUAAGAAGGUCCGGCUAACUUCGUGCCAGCAGCCGCGGUAAUACGAAGGGACCUAGCGUAGUUCGGAAUUACUGGGCUUAAAGAGUUCGUAGGUGGUUGAAAAAGUUGGUGGUGAAAUCCCAGAGCUUAACUCUGGAACUGCCAUCAAAACUUUUCAGCUAGAGUAUGAUAGAGGAAAGCAGAAUUUCUAGUGUAGAGGUGAAAUUCGUAGAUAUUAGAAAGAAUACCAAUUGCGAAGGCAGCUUUCUGGAUCAUUACUGACACUGAGGAACGAAAGCAUG